rfam:Naematelia encephala strain 68-887.2 BCR39scaffold_100, whole genome shotgun sequence.
AUCUUCGGCCAUAGGAUUGUGAAAACGCCGCAUCCCGUCCGAUCUGCGCAGCUAAGCACAAUACCGCUCAGUCAGUAGGAAGGUGGGGGACCACUUCCGAAUCCUGGGUGCUGAAGUUU